GUUCCCGGGAACUUACAGCAUGGAAAGAAGCCAGGAGCCAGCAGCCCUCUCCUCCAGGGCCACUUCUGAGAUCUCAUUCUCUUCUAUUGGAGAAAGGCCUUGUCCACACUCUGGGAACUAUGGUCCCUGGCAGCCCCAGGUAAGCUACUCCGGUAGAAAAAUUCUUUUCACAUUGUGUGUACAUCAAUCCAAGGGAAGACUCUGACUGACCAUCCUCCACGUAGACAUCUAUCCCCCCUCUAUUAUUGGGGGAUGAGAUGAUUCUGGCCUAGGGCCCUUUAAUCCACAGCCCCAAUAGAAUCUCAUGGAAUAGGAGAAGGGCAGUUCUUCCCCCACAAAAUAUGCUGGACAGACACACACAAAAAAUAAUGUCCUUUACACCCACUGAUCAAGUAAUAAGGUACUCGUGGGCAGAAAAACUGACUUGGAAAAGUUAAGGCGGAAUAAUGGUUAGGAUCAUGGGGUCUGGAAACAGCUUUCCUGGGUGAAUUCCAGCUUCACGCUUAUAAGCUGUGGGACUUUGAGCAAAUUAUAUAUUCUCUUUAAGCCUCACUUGUUUCAUCUGUAAAAUGAGGAGAAUAGUAAUACCCAUGUCAACAGGUUACCGUGAGGACUAAGUUGGUAUAAAAGGUCAAGCACAAAAUAAGGCUGGCCAUUGCUACUACUGUUACUGCUGCUCCUGCUACUAGUAUUAAGAUCGUACGUCAGGUAUAUAGUAAAUGAUAGACUCUGAACUAAAACAAUGCCCUCUGAUGCCUAACCUAGAGCCCUUCCCCCCACCCCACAGAUGAAGGGUGGCUGAACACUGGAAGGUGGCAGGUACAGCAGCGGUGGAGUUGAGUAAGCAGGAUUGAGGUGCUGGCAUUCUGGAUCCUUGUCACAGGCCAGUGGCCAAUGACCUCUCCUUUAUUUUAGCUAUUAUCACCCCUAUUUUACAGAAGAGGAAACUGAGGCAUGGAGGGACUGACUUGAUAGAUAGGUCACACAGCUAGCACAUAGUGGAGCCACUCAUUUAGGGGCCUUGGUGGUGUAUUGACAGGAGAAGCAGGUUUUCUUGGCUCUCUGGCUAGACAGGAUGAGCUCCUGUCUUCCCUUGUCAUCGCACUUGCCUGGUAGGCUGUCGGACUCACAGUUGGCACUGUCUUCUCAAAGAACAAAUGGAUGGACGUCAACAAUGACACUUGGUGGAGAAGAAGACAGAAAAAUGCAGAACUCAGAUUCCACCAAAAUGUAGGUGAAUUUGAAGUUAUGUAGAUCAGCUUCCCCCCAGAUAAAUGACUGUCACCGCUGCCAUUGUUAAUUAAAUGUCCCACUUUUCUGUAACCUUGGGAUUGAUUCCUGUUACAAAGGAAGAGUGAACAUAGAUCUACUCGAAACUUUUUCAUUCUCGUUUUUUACAAUCCAGGAAUUUCAAAAUACUAAGAGAGUGUUAGGUCAUCCGUCGACCAGUUUCUCUCUGUUACUCAACCCCAGCCUGGCAGUCUGCUCUGAAUUUCUGCUGGGUGUCUCAUUCUGUACCUGCUGCAGAGCAGUGACUCAGCCUGUUGAAUAACUCCCUUUUGCCCAGUAUGACAUGUCAACUUUAUUUCAUUGCUGUGGCAUGUCUCUUGCCCUGUGGCCGAUAAACAAGGCAACCCAGUCAGGAAACCAAAGCAAAUUCCCUACUUCUGAGUCAAAGCAGGAGCUCUGCCAAUCUAGACUUAGAAUACAUGCUCUUACACCUUUCUCAGCCCUCUGAGGAAGUUGUUUUCUCUCUUCUUAACCUCCCUUCCUCCCCUCACUCCUAGUUCCCGAGAAAAGAAGGCAUAACCAUGGAGCUAUUUUUACCUGAAAAAUAAAUCCAAGGGCAAGGUCUUCGACA
rnacentral:lncRNA from 1 species